UACGGGGGGGGCAAGCGUUGUUCGGAAUUACUGGGCGUAAAGGGCUUGUAGGUGGCCAACUAAGUCCGACGUGAAAUCCCUAGGCUUAACCUAGGAACUGCGUCGGAUACUGGAUGGCUUGAAUCCGGGAGAGGGAUGCGGAAUUCCAGGUGUAGCGGUGAAAUGCGUAGAUAUCUGGAGGAAUACCGGUGGCGAAGGCGGCAUCCUGGACCGACAUUGACGCUGAGGAGCGAAAGCUAGGGGAGCAAACGGG
rnacentral:rRNA from 1 species